rnacentral:lncRNA from 10 species
GAGAUCACACCAGUGCACUCCAGCCUGGGGGACAGAGCAAGACUCCAUCUCAAAAACAAACAAAACAAAAAAAAAAACUUCAUCUGUGUUAAAGGUUCAACCCAUAAAGGAAAAGCCACCCAGCUUCCACAGGUCUUGCUAGCUCUUGGGCAAUAAAUCUGGCCAAGACUGACUUGUGCAAGGUCACAGAGGAGCUGGAAGGAAACUGCAAGUCAGCAAUCUAGCAGAAAACGGGGCAACACAACUCGAUUUGCAGCUCGUUUCCAGCAUCUUCAACCUAAUGUUCUUCCAACUGCCAGCUUGAAGUUCUUAGGUGUACUGUCUACAUUGUUGAAAGACUUGCUAGUCUUGGCCAUCUGGUGUUCCUGUCAGUGGGCCCUUAGGGAAGAAACCAAAUUCAGCAGCCUACAAGACUUGGAAGAAGCCACAAUCAUGCCACUGUAUUUCAGCCUGAGCAACAGAGCAAGACCCCAUCUCAAGGAAAAAAAAAUUCCAACCACAGAAGGAUGGUGCUUGCAGCAGUGUGGCCACAGUAGAAACAGGAGACAGACCUGUUGGACUGGAAUGAAGGAAGAUAGGGAAGAAUUUGGGAGAAACAGUUUUGGUAGGAAGAGCAGGAGCUCAGUUUUGGGUAGGUAGAGUUUUCUAAUAACCAGUAGACAAGUGAGAUGUGGAGCUGGAAGUCGGUUCCAUCAGUCUGGAGUUCAGGAUAAAGAUCAGGACUAGAGAUGCAAAUCUGGGAGGUAUCAGCAUGUUGCUAAUAUCUAAAGCCACAGGCCUGGAUGAGAUAACCAAGGGAGUAAAGGAGUAAGCAGAGAUGGGAAAGCAAAGUUUAAGCCUUGAACACCUAGGCCACACCAGUGCUAACAGGUUUCAGGGAAGAGGAGGAACAGAACUAUGGGUAUUUUGGCCAGGUGCGGUGGCUCAUGCCUGUAAUCCCAGCACUUUGGGAAGGCCAAGGUGGGUGGAUCACCUGAGUUCAGGAGUUUGAGACCAGUCUAGCCAACAUGGUGAAACCUCAUCUCUAAUAAAAAUGCAAAAAUUAGCUGGGCAUGGUGGCAGGCACCUGUAAUCCCAGCUACUCAGGAGGCUGAGGCAGGAAAAUCGCUUGAACCUGGGAGGUGGAGGAUGCAGUGAGCCAAGAUCACACCACUGCACUCUAG